CUGCACGCUAUUACAAAGGACAAUGUCUUGGAAGGAGAAUGGAGCUGCUGGCCAGGGACUGAACAAGACUUUGCACCUUCAAAACAAGCUGGGAAAUGAUGUCCUUUCCUAUCUAAAAAUAAUGCAGCUUCCCUUGAUAUGGUCACAUCAGCUCACCAAAAAAGUAAUGGCCAGGGCUGGGUAUCUGCCACUAACCUCUUUUGGCCUCCGUGGCCACCAGGUGUGUUUGGUGUACCUACACAGAGACAAAACAUCCCUAUCCAUAAAUCUUUUAAAAAGUAACAAACAAAAGUCCCCAACUCCUAUUGAAGAGCUGGCAGCAGGCAGAUCACGAGACCCUACUGUUGGUGGGUAAAGUCCCUUCACUUGUAUAACCUUGUUUCUUAUGAACCUCUUUGAGGUAGGCAACAUCAGGGCUGUUCGUGUCCCCCAAACAGGAGGGGCCCAGCAUGAAGGAUGAUCAGAAGAGUUUUUAGUUAGUUCUGGGACACGGAGGAAGACAGAUGUGGAGAAUAAAAGGUUUAAACCCUCCCUCCUCCCUAUGCACAUCUCUGCAGAACCAUUUAUUUUAAUUAACCACUAAUUGAUUUAUGGAUUGGCACAGGGUUUCUCUGUGUAGCCCUGGCUGUCCUGGAGCUCACUCUAUAGACCAGGCUGGCCUCAAAUUCAGAGAUCUGCUUGAGUGCUGGGAUUAAGGGGUGUAUCACUAUGCCUGG
rnacentral:lncRNA from 1 species